rnacentral:rRNA from 1 species
CUCGUAGGUGGCCAACUAAGUCAUACGUGAAAUCCCUCGGCUUAACCGGGGAACUGCGUCUGAUACUGGAUGGCUUGAGUUUGGGAGAGGGACGCGGAAUUCCAGGUGUAGCGGUGAAAUGCGUAGAUAUCUGGAGGAACACCGGUGGCGAAGGCGGCGUCCUGGACCAACACUGACACUGAGGAGCGAAAGCCAGGGGAGCAAACG